rnacentral:rRNA from 1 species
CCUACGGGAGGCAGCAGUGGGGAAUAUUGGACAAUGGGGGGAACCCUGAUCCAGCCAUGCCGCGUGUGUGAAGAAGGCCCUCGGGUUGUAAAGCACUUUCAGUGAGGAAGAACGCCUGGUGGUUAAUACCCAUCAGGAAAGACAUCACUCACAGAAGAAGCACCGGCUAACUCCGUGCCAGCAGCCGCGGUAAUACGGAGGGUGCGAGCGUUAAUCGGAAUUACUGGGCGUAAAGCGCGCGUAGGUGGCUUGAUAAGCCGGUUGUGAAAGCCCCGGGCUCAACCUGGGAACGGCAUCCGGAACUGUCAAGCUAGAGUGCAGGAGAGGAAGGUAGAAUUCCCGGUGUAGCGGUGAAAUGCGUAGAGAUCGGGAGGAAUACCAGUGGCGAAGGAGGCCUUCUGGACUGACACUGACACUGAGGUGCGAAAGCGUGGGUAGCAAACAGGAUUAGAUACCCUGGUAGUC